GAUUAAGUUUCAGGGCUGAGCUUCUGAGCUCAGGUCAUUGAGCUCUCCUGCACAUUCGGCAAGAUGCUGCACAAUCUCCUCUGGUCUGAAUUUCUGCUGGUUUUGUUUUCCCAGCUGGGAAUGUAGCCUUUGCCCAAGGGCUGGGAAGCACUAAGCAGCUCCAGCUUUACCUGAACGCAGCGCUGGCUGGCAGCUUUGCAGAUUUACCAGGAUCCAGAUGUUACAGCUAAAUGCAAACCAACUUGCUGCCUGGUUUUGAAAACUGUUCUGUGCUUGUAAGCCCUUUGCAAAUGCAGAAAAUAACAUUCAGCUUUGCAACACACUACAGCUGAGGAGGAGUUUUUCAUAACGAGCUGAUUCCCAGCACUGGUGGUCAUGGGAUAAAUUCACCGUGAAGAUGUGGGAGGUAGACAGAAGGGCUUUCAGGUAGAAGUGAGUUUCCUCUGGAUUACCAGCUAGAAAGUGAAAGAUGACACUAUUAGCAUUUAAUGUAAGGCACGCAGCAGCUGCCCCAUUUCUUUCCUUGACUUUAUCAAACUCUAAUGGAAGUUGGAUGGCUUCAGAAUAAUUUCACCAGCUGUGUUGAUCACACUCCUACAAGCUCAGAGUUCAUCCCUCUCCUCUCCAACACAAUAUUCACUGAACUAGCAAAUGAAAAGUCACAACACAAUUGGGAGUACUGGGGAAAGGUGAAGAGAUCCAAGAGACGCAACAUGCUCGGAAAGCCCUUGCCUGCUUACCAGGUGGUGGUGCAGACAUCGCGGGAACCUGUGUGCUGGUGAGACAGCUCAUGUCCCCCACCGGUCUCCUCCUUGCUCUGCUCACACUGACCUCAUUGCUGGGAGUCCCUGGUGCCAGGGACAGGAGGGAUAAGGUGGGCUCCCAUCCCAAGCACACAGACCGGGGAAAAUCAGGCAAUGUCUGUGAUGCAUUUUUUUUUUUCUUUUCUGAAUAUAACUGGCUAAACAGUGGGAAAAAGGUGAAGGGCUCAUGUUCCAAAAACAAACAUUUGAGCCUUUACAAGGAUGUUUUGUGGCAUAGCGACAACUUGUAGAUUCUCCAGUGUUUCUGUGCAAACCAAAUGGUGUUAUUUAAGAGCAGAACUGUUUGUGCAGCUGAACAGAGUUGGGCAGCAAUUCACCCUGAAUGUCUUGAAUUUCACCUGAAAAUUUCACUUAAAAUAUUGUUGCGAAGAGAUCAGUCCUGUGGUUUAGGGCAGACUGCUCCAACCACAUUGAGACGGAUGGCUGGGCUUGGCUGUCAGAGAGGCUGGUAUCAGAGUUUUUGCUGCUGUCAGCUUUGCUUGGCGUAAGUAGGCUGCAAACGCUGCCUUGUACCAGCUCACUGGACGGGAUGAUUGUCACCAAACCCAAGCAGAAGUGACAUUCCUGGAAUAAAUUAUUCAGCAAAGCACAAGGAAUGACUCCUCCUGCCCCAAACAGGUGCUGUCACAUUUCUGCACCCAGCUUUUGCCUGACUUAUGGCUGAUGCUCUCCCUGCAUCACGCGAGAGCCCCCAAGCAGCUGCUUUGCAUCCUGCUGACUGUGCCAAAAUGCAGCCGUCCAGCACCUGUGUGGAUGUUUGUAAGUCCGUAAUGAAAACGCAGCACCACUGCCAUGCAAUCUCCAUGGAUUUGUGGUUAAAAUGCUUUGUCAAUGUAAUCUUAUAUCUUAAUGACCAAAUAAUGGCAUACAACAGGAGCUGCAUAAGAAGUCACUGGAUAUCAUUUUGCUGUCAUUGUGAAGGCCCUGGAACAUGAUCCUCAUUACAGGGGAAUUUGCAUUAACAUUGUUUGGCCAACAUAAUCCCACCCCAUAAUCACAUUUUUAGUAUAUUAAAAUAGGUCUGACUCUAUCCUGAGUUUUAACCCCUUGGUCCCCAAAGCAUUGGAUGGGAUUUAGCUCAGGAGCUCCAUCAAAGCCGAUGGAGCCACCACAUGAAAUCACCAGGCAAUGCAGGGUAAUUUGGCUGAUCUUGUUUAGCCACAAAAUCUGGUUCUUUGAUGGCAAAGUAAUGCAAUACUCCUGCUAAAUCCACAGCAUCAUGGAAAAAGAAAAAAAAAAAAAGAAAGAAAGAAAAGUUCCUGUCUGUGCUUUGCUAUUUUGGGAUGGCAGUUUGAUUUUCACUUCCCCCAUUUACUAAUAGUAAUGAUUGUUCUCUAAAGAUGUGCUGCCUUUGUUAGCUGGAUUGUUGCAGUAGGAGACGACCCCCAUGUUUUUGGCACCCAUUGUGAUUGGUGCUAAAUGCCCUGUUAAGGGUUUGUAUGGAUCUUGCAGGAAUGCUCUUCACCUGUGCUGACUUUUAAGCAAGCCGCAGUAUUCAGAAAGCAUUGAUUUUUGCUCCCUAUCCUAAGUUUCUGUAUCCUUCUCAUUUUUUCCAACCGUGAGCUCAGCGAAAGACUUCUGGUGCAGGAUUUAAAUAGACUGUAAGUGGGAGGCGAGAAGUAUUCUCCUAGUGUACAGAUGAGAAACUGAGGCAUGGAGAGAUUCAAGGAUUUGCUCCAUGACUGACCGACACCCAGAGUCUAAGACAGGGACAGGAGCAAGGACCACAUGCUUUAUGGUUAGAACACCAGAUUUGUUUUGGGAAAUCAAGAUUCACUUCCUGUGCCUCCUGCUGCCUCCUGGGUGGCAUUGGCAGAGGCAAGUAGGGCAGAAUUUGUCACCCCAGAGGUGUUACCCUCAUUUGGUGCUUUUGUGGCUUGACAAGGAAAUGAUGGGAUAAGAUGCCUGAUUUGAAGGAAGCCAGACAUCUGUGAGCCCAUCUCUGUGUACACUGGGAUGACAGCACUUCUCUCCUGGAUGGGUCAUAGAAUCAUAGAAUGGUUUGGUUUGGAAGGGACCUUAAAUAUCAUCUAAUUCCAACCCUCA